rnacentral:lncRNA from 1 species
UCCCUUCUCUUCCUCACGUAGCUCUCUCUUCUUGCUCUCUCUCCACAUCAACCCAAUCUCUCUCUACCUCUUUACCUUCUUGUUACUCAUUCUCCCCAUCCUCCAUGGUUGUCGCCUCCCUCUUCUUGUCACUCACUUUUCCAAUCCUCUGUGGCAGCACCGAGAUUCCCAGGGCUCUUCCUCUUAACUACCGACCCAAUUGCCUUUUUAUUUUUGCUGAAAUAUAGCUGCUGUGGAAGCCUUCCUUUGUGUUGACGAUUGGGGUAUUGAAAUUAUGCAAGUAUACUCACAAUUUCUGGUCAUAAACUUUGACAAAAUCAAAUCCGGAUCUGCUUCGGCUAUCAUUGCAUCACUGGGAUUGUUGCUUCUGAAGCUCCAUUGUCUUUACCAAAAUUCAAUAUAGAUACUAAUUGGUGGUGGUUAGGAGCUAGUUCAAUGGGUAUUGUCAUGGUUGGGUGCUGGUUCAAUGGGAUUAUGGUGGAUAUAUAUGGGGGAUAAGCAUCUGAACGAGGAAGAAGAAAGAUAUGAAAAGAAAAAAGAAAUUAAAAGUAAAAAUUUGAUUAUUAAAUUUGAUACCCA